ACCACCCAGAUCCAGAUCAGAAAGAAGCUCCAGCAUCUCCUCAUGGCAAUCCUCGGCAAGAGUAAUAGCGUUGUGUGCCUCGUAGCGCUAGUGCUCAUAGCCACCGUUCUCUCCUCACGUGCCGACAAUGGAUGCGAUAUCGGUCCAUUUCCCAAGGAAAACUGUACUAAGCUAUGUCAUAAAGCAUGUGGUCAUGCCGGCGUUUGCCUCUUAGGAGAUGACGAGAAGUAUUACUGUUGUUGUGAACCAGUACGCCAAGAUGGAUCCAUGAGGCCUCAGAAGGUUGCUGAAAUGAUACAAACAUAGUGUCAUGGAUCACCAGAACCAUGUCGAAUAAAUGUGCUAGUUCUUGUUGAACUUGUAUCGAAUUUGGUAAUAUCGUGUUUUUGUGAUUCGGUUGGGGAAUUUGAUAAACCUGUAUUCCCCAUUCGGUGGAUCUGGUGCCUCGUUGUUUAUUUGUGAUUCGGUUGGAUCGAAUGAACUUGUAUAUAUUCCCCAUCUGAUAAAGUUUGUUUUUGUUGGCC